AAGAGCAGAAGCUUGCAGAGCUCUCCUGUGUUCCCAUUGGUAGGGACGCUCAGUGACAUCACAACCAUGGAAGACAGAGCAGCUUUGGUCAACUGAGAAGCAGAACCGGCAUCCUCAGAGUCUCCAGCCGUCUGCGCCUGGAACAGGGUGUAAAGAUUGCCGCAAACCGUGACAGCAUGUAUGUCCCAUCCACAACAGGAUACGCAAAGUAGUACAUGGAACGAAACUGAGCCCGGAGACCUCGGUCUUGAAAU